UAAAAUGAAAGGACCUCUCUGUCUCUCACAUUUUUCUCUCCUUUCCUCAAUUUAGCUCUGCUCUCUCUAGAAAGUCUGAAAAUGCUUUUACUCUCUCCAUGUCAAAGCAAGUCCUUCUUCCUCCCUUUGCAGUUUCCUCGCAGAUUGAUGCAUCCGUAGCCUUCCAUAACCCAACAACAACGCACCUCCGUGAGUACCCCGCCGUGAUGGAAAAUCGGAAAAAACGGAAACCCAAAGUGUGGAGAGCCCUAAUGGUUUCAAAUCCGAGACAACAACACAAGAACACCCCCGGAGUCAGCAGCUCAGCUCAACCAAGGAUCUAAAAAUGUUGAGCAUACACCCGUGAGAAAACAAGCUUAAGCUGCCGGUCUAAUAGUCCCAGAAAGCAAAAUCAACAGCAACUGUCGCGGCCUCUGUAUGUCAUAUAGGGGUAUACGGAUCCAUGAUAGAGCCAAGGACACAGAAGUAAACACACAAGAGCAACGGAGGAAAA